GACGAACGCUGGCGGCGUGCCUAAUACAUGCAAGUCGAGCGAAGUUUUUCUGGUGCUUGCACCGGAAAAACUUAGCGGCGAACGGGUGAGUAACACGUAAAGAACCUGCCUCAUAGACUGGGACAACUAUUGGAAACGAUAGCUAAUACCGGAUAAUAGCAUUAACUGCAUGGUUGAUGUUUAAAAGUUGGUUUUGCUAACACUAUGAGAUGGCUUUGCGGUGCAUUAGCUAGUUGGUGGGGUAAAGGCCUACCAAGGCGACGAUGCAUAGCCGACCUGAGAGGGUGAUCGGCCACACUGGGACUGAGACACGGCCCAGACUCCUACGGGGGCAGCAGUAGGGAAUCUUCCGCAAUGGGCGAAAGCCUGACGGAGCAACGCCGCGUGAGUGAAGAAGGAUUUCGGUUCGUAAAGCUCUGUUGUUAGGGAAGAAUGAUUGUGUAGUAACUAUACACAGUAGAGACGGUACCUAACCAGAAAGCCACGGCUAACUACGUG
rnacentral:rRNA from 1 species